CUUGAUGACGAGUGGCGCACGGGUGCGUAACGCGUAUGCAAUCUACCUUUAACCGGUGAAUAGCCCGAAGAAAUUCGGAUUAAUACACCAUAGUAUGAUGAGGAGGCAUCUCCUUAUCAUUAAAAGUUCCGACAGUUAAAGAAUGAGCAUGCGUGACAUUAGCUAGUUGGUGAGGUAACGGCUCACCAAGGCCACGAUGUCUAGGGGAUCUGAGAGGAUUAACCCCCACACUGGUACUGAGACAGGGACCAGACUCCUACGGGAGGCAGCAGUAAGGAAUAUUGGACAAUGGUGGCAACACUGAUCCAGCCAUGCCGCGUGAAGGAUGAAGGCCCUAUGGGUUGUAAACUUCUUUUGUACGGGAAAAAACCUUACUUACGUGUAAGAAGCUGAUUGUACUGUAAGAAUAAGGAUCGGCUAACUCCGUG
rnacentral:rRNA from 1 species